rnacentral:misc_RNA from 1 species
GAUGAAGAACGCAGCAAAAUGCGAUAAGUAAUGUGAAUUGCAGAAUUCAGUGAAUCAUCGAAUCUUUGAACGCACAUUGCGCCCGCUGGUAUUCCGGCGGGCAUGCCUGUUCGAGCGUCAUUUCAACCCUCAAGCCCCCGGGCUUGGUGUUGGGGCUCGGCCCGUCCCUAGCGGAUGCGCCGUCCCCGAAAUCUAGUGGCGGUCUCGCUGUAGCCUCCUCUGCGUAGUAGCUAACACCUCGCAAUGGGAACGCAGCGCGGCCACGCCGUUAAACCCCCCACUUCUGAAGGUUGACCUCGGAUCAGGUAGGAAUACCCGCUGAACUUAAGCAUAUCAAUAAGCGGAGGA